ACAAAUGCUAAUCGAAACAAGUAA
rnacentral:misc_RNA from 1 species